CCUACGAGAGGCAGCAGUGAGGAAUAUUGGUCAAUGGACGAGAGUCUGAACCAGCCAAGUAGCGUGAAGGAUGACUGCCCUAUGGGUUGUACACUUCUUUUAUAUGGGAAUAAAAUGUUCCACGUGUGGGAUUUUGUAUGUACCAUAUGAAUAAGGAUCGGCUAACUCCGUGCCAGCAGCCGCGGUAAUACGGAGGAUCCGAGCGUUAUCCGGAUUUAUUGGGUUUAAAGGGAGCGUAGAUGGGUUGUUAAGUCAGUUGUGAAAGUUUGCGGCUCAACCGUAAAAUUGCAAUUGAUACUGGCAGUCUUGAGUACAGUUGAGGUAGGCGGAAUUCGUGGUGUAGCGGUGAAAUGCUUAGAUAUCACGAAGAACUCCGAUUGCGAAGGCAGCUUACUAAACUGCCACUGACAUUGAUGCUCGAAAGUGUGGGUAUCAAACAGGAUUAGAUACCCCAGUAGUC
rnacentral:rRNA from 1 species